rnacentral:rRNA from 1 species
GACGAACGCUGGCGGCGCGCUUAACACAUGCAAGUCGAGCGAGAACCAGUCCUUCGGGGCUGGGGACAGCGGCGAACGGGUGAGUAACACGUGAGUAAUCCACCCUCGGUACCGGAAUAGCCCGGGGAAACCCGGAUUAAUGCCGGAUGGCCCAUCUGUUCUUCGGAAUUUGAUGGAAAAGAUAGCUUCGGCCUUCGACCGAGGACGAGCUCGCGGCGGAUUAGCUUGUUGGCGGGGUAACGGCCCACCAAGGCGACGAUCCGUAGCUGG